rfam:Triticum aestivum genome assembly, contig: Triticum_aestivum_CS42_TGACv1_scaffold_236389_3B
UAAUUACUCCCUCCGUCCCAAAAUUCUUGUCUUAGAUUUGCCUAGAUAUGGAUGUAUCUAAUACUAAAACGUGACUUGAUACAUCCGUGUUUAGAUAAAUUCAAGACAAGAAUUUUGGGACAGAGGGAGUAUCAU